UACGUAGGGUCCGAGCGUUGUCCGGAAUUAUUGGGCGUAAAGAGCUCGUAGGCGGUGUGUCGCGUCGGCCGUGAAAACCUGCAGCUUAACUGUGGGCUUGCGGUCGAUACGGGCAUCACUGGAGUUCGGCAGGGGAGACUGGAAUUCCUGGCGUAGCGGUGAAAUGCGCAGAUAUCAGGAGGAACACCGGUGGCGAAGGCGGGUCUCUGGGCCGAUACUGACGCUGAGGAGCGAAAGCGUGGGGAGCGAACAGG
rnacentral:rRNA from 1 species